rnacentral:rRNA from 1 species
UCGGGAAUCUUCCGCAAUGGGCGCAAGCCUGACGGAGCAACGCCGCGUGAGUGAUGAAGGUCUUCGGAUCGUAAAACUCUGUUAUUAGGGAAGAACAAACGUGUAAGUAACUGUGCACGUCUUGACGGUACCUAAUCAGAAAGCCACGGCUAACUACGUGCCAGCAGCCGCGGUAAUACGUAGGUGGCAAGCGUUAUCCGGAAUUAUUGGGCGUAAAGCGCGCGUAGGCGGUUUUUUAAGUCUGAUGUGAAAGCCCACGGCUCAACCGUGGAGGGUCAUUGGAAACUGGAAAACUUGAGUGCAGAAGAGGAAAGUGGAAUUCCAUGUGUAGCGGUGAAAUGCGCAGAGAUAUGGAGGAACACCAGUGGCGAAGGCGACUUUCUGGUCUGUAACUGACGCUGAUGUGCGAAAGCGUGGGGAUCAAACA